GACUCCGGUUUCUCUUCAGCUCCAAUAAAUCUUUCGCUUUUUACUAAAGAUGUCCGUGGAGAGGGUCACCGGAAGUUUAACUAAAUUUUAAUGAUAUCUGCUGAUAGUAGGGAU
rnacentral:snRNA from 1 species